CCGGCUAUUCACAGACAUCCUCUUGAUAUAAUUCUGUCCCGGAGUGGAGUUGAGGAGGCUAUAAAAUGUGUGGGAAAACCUCAGAAAUCUUUAGCUGCAUUCUUUUACUGCACUGACAGUGCACGUAUUAUGAUAGUUGAAUGUAGGGUGCUCUCCUAAUAACAGGAUAUGCCGUCUCGAGCUUCCCAGACUUAGCGUGCUGCUGCUGGGCCUUAGAGAAUUUAGUUAAAUAAAAAGUGUCACCGCCUAUUCCUGUUUCUGCCCUGUCAAUGAAAUUUUAGUCUUUAUAACCUUUCCAAGUAGGCUGGAGUUUAACAUCCCAACAAUUCAGGAGACUGAUUUUCUCCAUUGUAAAUUCUGUGGAAGUUCUGGAGAAUAAUUUCAUCACUACCACCCAGCAGUAUGCAAUCUAGAAAUUUCAGCUUUCCCUAUACUUAAAAGAGAUGUGUGUGCAACAUUUUUCUCCGUCCUCUUAGCCCCCCACUUCCUGUUCCCCUCACCCUGAGUGAUAUUACAGCUCCUAAUCAGAACUCUCCUCUAAGAAAAACUGCAAGACGUCAAGCCACUAAGCCUGUUUACAUUUGCUAAUGGGUAUGCAUGUCUUUUUAUAUUAAUAUUUUUCCUAAGUAUUUUCAGAUUGUUGCUUUCAGAUUUAUUGCUUCCUCCUUAAAAUAUAGCUGCCCUGAAAGCAGCUGUAUUGUAUCUAUUUUUUGUGUUUCCCCACAGAUCUGAAUAAUCCAGGGCUUUUCUCACAGAUGACACUCAGUGUGGACUAAUUGAUAAUGUAUAAUUUUAUAGCAACUAUUUUCUGAGUUUUAAAAAAUUGUUAUUUUAUUUCUGUUAGUCUUUCAGACACUGGAAAACAUUUCUAUUUUAUUGGCAUUUUUCUUUUCAAUAAAGCAUUGGUUUUUUUAAAUCAUUUAUUUUUAUUAAACUGCUAAACAUACUAUGUUAGGUUCCAUACAUGAUUAAACCACCAAAAGAUAAAGGUCUUGCCAAUCUAAUGUAUUUACAUGCUUAUUUUCUUUGAUUAGAUUAUAAGCUUUCUGAGGUCAGAGACAUUAAAUCUUGAUAAUUCUAUUUUUUCCUGUUAUAAACAGCAAGUAAAGCACCUUGCAUGUAUAGUACUUUAGUAAUGAUUUUAUAUUAUCUUAUUGCAGCAGUGUCUACUGUUGCCUCUUAUCUUUUAUCCAGAUGAGCAAAUGACAGUUUUGGUCAUAAUGUAGUUACCCCAGAUGUAUUUGUGCUACAGCUUUUAUUUUUUAAAUGCUCUUUUGUUAGAGUAGUAGUUUAUAAGACUUAUUUGGGGAUGGGGGUCAGUUGCUUCAGACUCAGGUGGCUUUCCAACUUGUAAAUACAAUUUUCAGGCUGGAUGAUUAGCAUGCAUCAAGCAUCCCUUCCUAUGAACUCUAAAUAAAGCAGAUUUAUUGCAUAUUCUGUGGCCCUCUGUUUUAGCACAUUGGAAACCUUAGACUCAAAUAGCAGUGAAAGGAUAGUUAUUGCUGAGCUCAGAAGUCUUCCCUGCCAAAGGUAGAAUGUAAUGUGUUCUGUGGUAAUAGGAUUAUUUUGUUUGACCAGGUGACACUGUUUAUUUCUUAUGAAAAAUUUUGAUAUACUGCUUUAAAAUUUAGUAAGAUGGAUGCAUAAUUUAUGCAGUGAAAUUUGAAAGGUUUUUCAAAAUGAUAAGGCCAAACCUAAGCUAAAUGAGGGGGUAGGCAUUCUUUAUAAUAAAGCUGUUAUACUCUGCCCAGCUAGGCCAGUUAUCCCUAGAUGCUACAGAUUAAUGGGGCAAUCUGUGUUAUGUAACAUUUGUUCUAUAUUAUUCUGCCUCUAAUGAGGUGAAUCAAAGACGAUGUCAGUUUUAAUUCUGGAUGCCCUUGCUUCAGUAUAGUAUAAUACAUAGGUACAGCCUUUUUUAGUAGUUUUCAGAUGGCUUCUUUAUGUUUUUAUAUUGAAGAACCACUAACUUCCCAUUGGCCUAUAAGGUUAGCAAUUGAUUAUUUAUAGCAAAUGGCUUGAAAUGUUAGAUCAUCAGUAUUUGUCAAUAAGCCUGUAAUAACUUGUUUCCCUAGCCCUUAACUUAGUGUUGAAGAAAAAAAUUGUGGUAUUCAUUGAUAGGACUUAGAAAGCACAGAAAUUACUUAUUAUUUAAGAUUUGUUCUACCAAUUGAUAUUUAAAGUAAAACAUUUUUAGUUACUGAACACCAUUCUGUAAAUGACAGUAUUUUAUCCUGAGUAUAUGGUCUGAAAUGACUUAGGGACAACUUUUUAAAGCAAAUAACUAAUUACAAAAUUGGGUCUUCCAAUUUAUUUCAAAUUAGAUGCUUUUGUACAAAUAUUCUUGGUUAGAAAUAGUCAUAUAAAUACACUGUUGGACUUGUUCUCAUUGAUCUCCACACCUCAGUUCCUUCUACAUGAGUCAUGGGCUUGAGGUUACCCAGAAAUGGACUGUGAACCUAUAAACCCCAGCAUGCAUGUGGUAUUGCGUCGAGCAUGUUCUGUGAUUCCCUUCUACUCUUGUUACAGCUUUAUUCAUUGGAUCAAUGUGCAUUAUUUGCUGUGUGUGCUCAGGUAAUAUUUUUGUUUCUUUUUUUUAGUUUGAAUAUCAGUUUGGGCUUAGUUACUUUUUAAAAUAAGGCUGUUUCAGAUAGUCUCUGCCACACUUUGCCUAGCCUGGUUAAUUGUGGGUGGACCCAUGCUACAUGUUUUGGCAUUGCCUUUUUCUUAUCUGUACCAUAUUACAAACUUCCUAGUAAUUUGACAUUCACUGCUGUCUUUGCUUUAGCUUUCCAACAGGUUUGGUGAAACAGUCCAUUGCUGUUCAAUAUCAGCUUGCAUCAGAAUUACUUGGAGGGCUUAUUGAUUAAAACACAGAUUGCUGGGCCCUGCAAAAAAAGUUUCUGAUUCAGUAGGUCUGGGGUGGAACAUAAGAAUGUGCUUUUCCCCCCACAGUUCCCAAGUACUGCUGAUGCUGCUCCUCUAGGCCCAUGCUUUCAGAAUCACAGAGCUCAUCUUACAUUCUUUUCCUGCUAGAUAUUAUGCCCAAUUAAUACAUGAAGUAAAACAGAAAAAUCCUUAACUUAAAAACAUGUAUUAAUCCAGAAGUUUGAUUAUAAAAAGGUUUGUUGAAAAUGUGAGACCAUUUUUUCUCCCAGAGAAAAAGUAUAUUAAUUGUCUAGCUGGGAGGGGCCUAUUUGAAUGUGUUUUCAGAGAAAAGCAGAAGAAAAAAAUACGGUUGUAAUAGAAGUAGUUAAAACAGAAAAGCAGUAUGGUUGUAGAGUGGGGUGGCGGGGAGGUAUAUGUGUAUUUAAUCUUGAGAACCAAUGCUUUUGGAAAACAGCCCGAAGGGACAAGAGACUAGGUAGAGACUGGCGAGGUUCCUGAAAGUCCUGGGUUACCUGUGAAAUGCCAAAGAUUUUUAAAGUUUGCUGGCAGUGGUUAUUAUAUGUAGUUUUACUUCCAAAUUUGAAGAUUUCCUCUUCUUUGAUGCAAGUGUGUUGGUAGGACCACUGAUAAUAGUUAGUGGAGAUAUUUGUGGGAAUAUAUUUUUAAUCAGAAAGAAUGCAAAAAGAGGGGGAGACAUUUCUUUGAGACACCUUAAUGACACUGGGAACAGUAGAAGGUGGAAAGAGAUCAGAGUGUGGGAAAGAUGUGCCUGAGAUGAAAUUAUCUGAAUUCUGAAUGUGGGGGAGAAGAUGAGGAGAGGGUUGAGGGGGAGGAGAGAUGACUAAGCUCCUCACAGUGUUUCAUUAACUGUCUUUUACCUAAAGGAGGAAUCUUCUUAAUGAAGAUUGGUUGAUGCAUCAUACUGGUCAUCAAGUAAGUUCUUAUAAAUGCAAGUUUGAUUGUUUUGAAGGGAAGGAUAUAGGAAGGCUGGAUAAUCAGCUACAUUUAGAUAUGGAACACUACAGGAUGUCGGCAUUUAUUGUUGUAAAUUCCUUUGGUGAAAAACGUUAUCACUUGUUUGUGACUAGCCUGGGCAAUAUAGUGAGACCUUGUCUCUAAAAAAAAUUUUAUUAAUAAGAAAAAUUAGCCGGGCAUAGUAGCGUGCCUGUAGUGCCCCCCACUGCCCUGGACACGCCCCCACUUCCAAAAAAACAAACACCCAACUCACUUCUGCCUUUUCCUUGGAUUCUACACUUUCUCUCAGGAUAUCUUUCCGAUUGAGUCUUGCCUCAUUUAUGUGAAUGCUGUGCCUGUUCUUUUUUUCAACAGAGUCUUACGUAAAGAACCGUACAAACUUAGUAAAGAGUUUAAGUCCUGCUUUAAACCAAGUUUCAGUUCAUGUAAACAUCCUACACUCAGCUGUAAUACAUGGAUUGGCUGGGAGGUGGAUGUUUACUUCAGCUGACUUGGAAUGUCAACCAAUUAACAUUGAUAAAAGAUUUGGCAAGAAUAGUAUACAGAGGCUUGAAUUUUUAAUGUAAUUAAUGUAAUUAAAGGUUUGUUGGAAAUGUGAGACCAUUUUGUUCUCCCAGAGAAAAAGUGUGUUAAUUGUCUAGCUGGCAGGGAUCUACUUGAAUAUGUUUGCAGAGAAAAGCAGAAGAAAGCAUGGUUGCAGUAGGAGUAGUUAAAACAGAAAAACAGUAUGCUUAUAGAGGAAAAAUUACUCUAAAUUUAUUAAAAUUCCUUUAAAUUUGUUACUCAAUUUAAAUUUUUAUUGUAUCUUUUCAAUUUUGCUAUAGCACUAACAUGACAUAAGGCUCUGGGUAUUGGGACAAAAGAAUGCCCUUGUUUGGUAGUUGGGGUCGGGUUUGUAGUAUUGCAGUGUGCUUUAACAAGCAUGGGCUUUGACAUCAGACAUUUGUUGCCAUCUGGACUCCACAAGUGAAUUUGCUACGGGAUUUGGAGGAGGGAAAGGCACUGUUUCCAUACCUCAGUGGUUUUCUCAUCUGUAAAAUAAGUAUGUGAUUGCAUGGAUUGACUUACAUGAUGAAUAUAAAGUUGUUCAUUAGUACAGUACCUGUCAUAUUAAGUACUCAAUAAAUGCUAGUUAUUAUUAAUGCUGUGUUGUAGGUGUUCAGUAAAUAGUUGCCAUAAUGCUUAAAGCAGACAUAACUUGUUUUUAUUUUUGCAAUAAAGAUGAUGCCAACUUUUUGGUUUAAUGGAAAUGCUUUGAAUCUUUGAUAUUGUUGUAAUAUAGUGGCAAAGAAUUUUGAAUCCCAGCUUCUGGAGCUCAUAUCUUGAUUCUGCGAGUUACUUCGCUAUGUUACUUUGGGGGAAGUUAUUAAUCUCUCUGUGCCUCAGUUUCCUCAGUCGACUAAAUUGAAAUUAUAAUAGCACCUACCUGAUAGGAUUGUUGAGACUAAAUGAGGUAACAAUUUAAAAAUAAGCUAAUACCUGAUAAUUAGUUCUAUAUAUGUACUGAUUGGUCUAAACGUUAUUUCCAUUUUCAUGUCUUUACUUAAAAUACUGAAAAUUAAUUUUUUAUAGCUUUGUUUUUCAGUUCCAUGAAAUCAGCCUGCCUUUUCUUUUUUUGGUGAUACAUCCACAUUCUGUAUAGGUGAAAAGCAAAACAAACAAGUAUAAAACGAAAAUUAUGUAAGAAGUACACACAUCCUAGCAGCUUGGCAAGUGUCUGUAUGCUCUUGCCUGUGCCUAAAUCCAGAAUUAGAAUUCAUGCUUGGUGCUCCUGUGGAAGAUGUCUAAAUGUUAUGAGAAAUACAUGAUUAAAUAAAAAUGUGAAAUGAAAGCAUGGAGACUUGUUGAAGGUGAGUGCUGUUUUUCUAAUUAUAUAUUUUAUUUGUUUAAUGAAUAAUUUGUUAAUUUUCUUUGUCAUUACGAGAGAGCUGUUUUAUUCUGUACUUAGGUGCAUAGCAUACUAUGUUUUAGUGAGCUCCACAUGUUAAUUUGAAACUUGCCAAAUUUUUACAUUAUUUUAUAAUUUAUAGUACUUUGAGAAACAUAUUGCAAUGCAUUACAAAGCAUAUAAUGUAAAGGUAGUUUUAUGAAGUGUUUUUCUCCCAAAUUAAGCAUAUUUGGGAAUUGCCCAUCAAUUUGUUUUUGAACCUCAGUGCAUAAAAUAUAGAAUUUUUCUUUCAUAUGCUAGAUGUGAAAAAUACUCAGCAUAUGCAUGUGGUUUAGGCUACAAAAUAGCCUGUAGGUUAAAUUCCUAAUUCUAGUGUUUAAUUCAUUGCCUUUUUUCUUCUUGUUUAAUGGCCAUAUGUUUAUAUCUUUAUAUUACAUACAUUCCUGAUUAUGUAAUAAGGUCUUUGAUCAUGUGGGCUAUCAGAUUUGCCUCACUUUGUCUCUUAGAAGAAGCUAUACAUGAAACUAUGUUGUACUUAAGUGAAAAUUUGAGUAUUUUUCUUGUUUGAAUUAAUGCAGUGAAACAUUCUACUUACAGUUAGCUGUCUCCCACCCUUACAGGAAGGUACAUGCCUUCAUUUUUUAAAACACUGUAUAUUUAUUAGAAUUGUUACAGAAUUUUAGUAAAUAUAUUCUAAUCACAUAUUUUCUGAUUAAUGUGUGCUUAUCAGUUUUAAAUGUUAUGAAAUCUGGAUAUAUGUUAAAAUGUCUCAGUUUUCCCCUCUUGUUUACCAUAUUGCCAUUUGGUAUUAAUAGAUAACAUAAUGUAAAAUUGGAUGUCUUUGAUAAUUUUGGGAUAUGUUCUGAAAUUAAACUUGAACUUUUUUCUGUGAAUUUUGAAGAUUUGGUAUCUUAUAAUUAUUUGGUGAGCAUUUGGCAUGAAUUAUUUAGCUUCUCCCCUGUUUAUGAUUUAUUUCUCUUGUCAUCGAUUUCCAAUAGGAAAAUGUUAUGGUUCUAAAUGUCUCCUGUAGACUUCAGUAAUUGAAAAAUGUCAGUCAAGAUGGGGGGAAUCUGUAAUAUAUAAUAGAGUUUAUCUUUUAGUUAUGUUCAUUUCCACUUUUUUUAAUGUGUUUUUUUUUUAGUAAAUGUCAAAAGUGUUACUCAGUGCAACAUAUUAUGCAAUAUUAUAAUCAACUAACCUCUUCAUUGAUAAUGACUUCAUAUUGAGAGGUUUUUUAAAUCUAGAAAUAUUCUUGUUUUAAAUUCCAGGUUAAAAUGUAAAGGUAUUUUUAUUUUUUUAAUUUUAAUUCUUCUCAAAGCUACUAGUACAUUAUAAAACAACAAUUUCACAUUUAGAAUUUUUAUAUGUAUAUAAAUUAGGAUUAUUUUUUAAUAUUAGCCUUAACUUUCUUUAACUUUUAUGAAAAACAACUAGUCCCAAGGGUAUUUUUACUAUUUAAUAUACAUUAUUCCUGUGAUUCAAAAUCUUAGCAGUAGAACCUGUUGAGCUACUUAACUUUCUGUCUUGGGACUAUCCAGGUGCAGUUAUAACUGGUUUCAAAGUUGUGACCUUUUCCUUGCUUGUUUCAAAAUCAUUCCUUAAAAAAUGUUCAGUAUUUUUCUUUUGUCAAAAAAUAAAAACAGGAUUUGUGGGUUGUUCUGUUUUUUAAAAUUAGUUUGAGAAACUUCCUUUGCCACUUGUUUUCUGUGCAAAUGUUGUAAGAGCUCAAAUUCCCUGGGGGUAGGGAGGACUUUUAUAAGGUUUUUUUGGUUGAAGGGUAUAAAAGGCACUUAAAAGGUAUACAGUUACUUUUAUUUCGAUAUCCCAGUCAUUUUGACAUUAUGAUAAGCUUUCCCCACUUUAUAGGUUAUCUGAAAAUUUGGUGGGGGGCGGGUAUUUUAUUUAUACUUAAUAUAACAAAAUUAUUUUCCUAUGUGUAGUCAAUAGCACAUACAAAAAAUUAUCUCCUGUUUGUAGUCAGUAGCACAGUCAGUAUUCACCAAAAUACUGAGUUAUUUUUCAAGUAAAGGUAUAAGUAUGAAUGAGAAACAGUUUGUGGGUUGGGUAUUGUCAGUCCUUCUUUUUCAGAUAACUUUCUAAAUGGUCAUUCAAUCUGUAAUCUUAAACUUUUUUAAUGUUAUAAAUUCUUCAAAUCAGUAUUUGUAUUAAAUGCAGUGACCAGACUAUGUCACUGAUACAAUGUCAUGAUUAGAUGUGCAGAAGACUAUGUUACAUGGAUGAUAAAUGAACUUUUAACAUAUAGAAAUUAAUAUCAGAUUAAACUAAAACAUUAAGCAAAGUUAAUACAUGCUUGCAUACAUAUAUAUAUUUAUUUAUUAAUGAUAUGUGGAGAAUCUUUGUGCUUCAUAGUCACUAGACCUAAAGUAGAAGCAGUUGUCAAGAAUGUCCAACUGCUAUUCAUCUUUGUGGCCAAAGUAAAUUUCAGAUUUUUUUUUUGUAAUGGUUUUCUUUAGUCUCUUUAUUAACCCAUCAUCAUGACAAGUCUGUCAAGUGACACAUGUGAAAAGCAGAUGUCCUUUCUUAUUCCUGGUGCUUCCUAAGGAGGCAGUGCAAUGCAGGAGAAGGAACAUUAUUAGAGAUAAAGGAAAAAACCAGAAGUGCUUUCUCCUCUCACAUUCCACUCAACACUUCUCUCACCAAAUGUGUGUGGGGAUUUCUCUCCACCAACAACCAGCAGUUCUUUACUGCAGAUUCUCCAGUGGAUACCAGCCAGGUGUCCUCUAAUUCAGUUCAAUUCUGACAUUAUCUACUGGGAGAUAGUGUCAGAUCCCGCAAGUGGAGGGCUCAGUCCUACAAGACUACCCCUUACUUCAGAUGUCAGUCACAAGCAGUUAGCGGUUUGUGAUUCUGACCAACUGGCUAGAGGUCCCCCUCCUCAAGUGUGAUUAAUUUGCUAGAGCAGCUCACAGAAUUCAGGGAAACACUUUAUUUACAUUUACCCAUUUAUUAUAAAGGAUAUUAUGAAGGAUACACAUGAACUGCCAGAAAGACAAGGAGCAUAGGCAAGAUACUGAGAAGGGUCACGGAGCUUCUGUGCCUUCUCCAGGUGCACCACCCUCUGGGAAUAGUCAGUUCAUGUGUUCAGCUGUCUCGAAGCUCAUUCGAACCCUGUCCUUCUGAGUUUCUGUGGAGGCUUCAUUACGUUAAGGUUCAGAAAUCAAUACCCCAAAAUAUGGGGCUUUGACAUGCUGAAUUAAAGAAGCAGCCUCAAGGCCUCUUGGCCUUCUCCAGCUCUCCUCACCCAAAUCCUGUCUCUCCCAAAGCACAAGAUGAGGCUGUUCACCAAAGUUCCCUUAUUUACCUAGAAACUGGACCUUAAAGAGGAACACAGUUGCCUGCGAUUCCAUCCCUGUAAUUUUAUUAACCAGAGAUUAAAACUUAUAUCACAGAGGAAGAGACUAAAAAUUAAACACCACACCUGGAGCCCAGAUGACCUGUCCCAAUCUAUUAUCUGUUCUCCAGUCCCAUUUAGUUCCCAAAGGGAAUCAUUUACAAACCAUUGUCUGAUCUUCCGGCCCAUUUAUUUACAGCUCCCCCUCUUUCCCCAAUGAAAAUGAUACUUAAGUGUCAGCCAUCUAUCGGCUCUUUGAGUUUUCACAUUUUGUAUGACUCCUGUGCACACACAUGCAUGUAAUAACUGUUAUACUUGUUAACUUUUUUUCAUUAUAGGGGUAUCCACCAUGAUUAUAUAUGAUGGGGAGGAAAGGGAUUACUCCAUUUCUGCCCCUGCAGUCUGUAGGCAUGAUUGAUUACAUCAUUGGUCGCCGGUGAUUAACUCAGUCUCCAAGCCCUGUCGUGUCCCUGGAGGUUGGAGGGUGGCACUGAAAGCUCCAACCAUCUCAUCAUGCUUUGAUCUUUCCGAUGACCAGACCCCACCCUGAAGCUAUCUACGGGUCCCCAGCAACAUUCAUUUCGUUAUCAUACAAAUGACAUUCUUACAAUUUCAGAGAUUCCAAGGGCUUUAGGAAAUGGAGAUGAAGAGCAAAUAUAUAUUUCACAAUAUCACAAACAUACCCUUGGGAAUUAGACCUCUGAUCUAAUCUAGGCUCCCUCACUUGCCAUUUUUGUGACCUUGAACAAGUUGUUCAUCUUUUCUGGAUAGUUCUCUGUUAAAAAAAUUAAAAUAAAAAAAUGGUGGCUAUCAGGUUGUUAGGAGGACUAGAUAAGAGAACUAUGUGAAGGACCCUGCACAGUGCUAGCAACAAAGUUGUUUAGUAAGUGCUAUUUCAAUUUAUUUUGCUUCCAAGCUCAUGUGAGCUCCCUCAGUGUGUACCACCAAAUCACAUGAUGUGUAUCCCAGUCAAAUCUUAAAGGUCAUCCACCUUGAAUCUUUAAGUUAAUUAACGUGUGUUUUUAAAACUGCAUUAUAAGAACGUUAGGGUUUUUGUUUUGAUCCUAUGGAAGUUAAAUUUUUUACACAAGCAUUCAACUGUUUAGCUUCAAACUGAACAGAUAAAUAGUCUGUAUUAUUUCAUUAUGUAUUAAAAAAUGAUUAAGCCUGCCUCAGGCAGUUCAGGCAAAGCAGGUAAAAGAUUAUCAAGGAGUAACAUUAGAAAACACUAAUCAGAGUGCCUAAAAAGCUUUAUGCGGUCCAGGUUGUACAGGGAUGUUGGAACAGUAAAACAAACAAAACAUUACAAGGUAUGAAGCGUUCGAGAUAGGUAGAAUAGAGCAGGUUAUAUUAGAGAAGUCUCUUCUAAAAUUGUGUUGGCUAGCCUGGGAUUUGAACUUAUACCGUGUAUGUAUGUCCAUGUGUAACAGGUUGAACAUGCAAGAAGCAGUGUUCAUAAAAGGUGGCAAACUUGUUUUACUUGUUUCUCAGUCUUUUCAGAUCAGUACUUAUAAAACACUGAUAUUUACAGUAAAUAUCUUAUAUUAAAUAUUAGCUAACCCUAUUAAAUUGUGUGUCCUUGUGCUGCAGUCAUUUAAUGACCUCAUUCUUUGGUAAGUUGGCAUGUGAUUUGAGAUAGCUCUAAGUGCUAAUGGAUUGUUUGAAGGAGUUAAAGGCAAAACCAGGAAGAGAAAACUAUUUUUAGGAAAAAGCGAUCAUACAACAGGCCUUAAAUAGAAGAAAUGAGAUAUCUCUAUCUUUACUAUGUAACCUUUAAUUCCUUACACAUUUUGACUUCAUAUUUUUUGUAUGUAAAUGAGAAUGUUAUAGUCUUGUAAAUUCCUUUUCCUCUGUGACUACAUUCAGUUAUUUAUUUUAUUGUGUGUUUGUGCAUGUCGGUAGAGCACAGUAUUUAGUAGAAUGAGUUAUUGGUUAAACCACCUGGAUUCAUUUGUAAAAUGGGGCCACCUGUCUCUUAAAUUGUAAUGAGGAUUUGAUUAGAUAAUCUAGAUAAAUCACUUAGCACAAGAGUCUCCAGCCCCCGGACUCUUGACUGGUACUGGUCUGUGGCCUGUUAGGCACUGGGCUGCACAGCAGGAGGUGAGCAGGGAGCAAGCUAGCACUAGGGCCCAAGCUCCGCCUCCUGUCGGAUCAGUGGCAGCAUUAGAUACUCAUAGGAGCACAGACCCUGUUGUGAACUGUGCGUGUGAGGGAUCUAGGUUUCGUGCUCCUUACAAGAAUCUAAUUAAUGCCCGAUGAGUUGAGGUGGAACAGUUUCUUCCCAAAACCGUCUCAGGAAACCUGUCCCUGGUGCCAAAAUUUGGGGGACCUCUGACGUAGCACACUAUCUGGCACAUACCAAGCACUCAGAAAAUAUCCCAUUUCUCAAAACUCAGUUCCAGUGUCAAGUCUUAAUAGUAUAUUGAUCUUGGAACUCCAAGGUAGUUGGUCCUCUCUUUGUGCCAUAAAUGUGCCUUGUACUCAGUAGUGCUAAAUUGCUAUCAACUAGUGCUAAAUGUACUACUAAUUCAUCUGUGUGUCCACUUCCCUUCUUAGAUUGUGAGCCCCUUGAGGACAGAGAUGGGUUUACUCAUAUUUAUAAAUUCAUUGGCAUGAUAAAUAUUUGCUGAAAGAAUAAAAUUGUAUUCUUAUGUUUUAAGCAGGGUCCCCUCCACCUCUGAGUGGAAGAUGGUCUGGGAGCAAAGGUGACAGGUCUUCUAAAAAAUCUGGCCACAUUCUCAACCCACCACACCCCCGCUUUUUUAAACAGCUAUUUAAUUGCCAUUGUAAUCCUAAGGAUUGGAUCAAUUUUUCACUUCCCUUUUUCACACUUUUUUCCUUUUACUAAGAAAAUAAAGUAAUAAAGUGACUGCCAAAUGGAGAAAACUGUCCACUAAAUAUGAAUUAAUAAGUGCUAUUAUCAGAAAUUGUGUAAAAGCAACAUAAUGGCACUAUAAAAAGGUAUUAUCUUAGAAUCAAAAACCUUGGGUUUAUAUUAUAGCCCUGCUACUUUCUAGUCAUAUGACAGUGAUCAAGCUAUAUUACCUCUUUGGCUUGACAAAAUAGGGGUCAUCUCUAUUUCUGGCUUGUUAUGAUUGAUGUGAAAUAUUCAUACAAACUACCACUGUGCCUGGUAAGUAGAAGACACUCAAAUAUGUCUUGGAGUUACAGUUAAUACUGUAUCGUUUAAAUUUGAGAAAAACCAACUUUAAAAAAUCACAUAGAUACAGUUGUUUACUGCUAGAAAUUUUAUUUAAAUUAGUUGAUACUCUUGGUUAGGUAAUGAAAAACAAUGGUUUUAUCUCCAUUAUGCUGUGAUAGGGAAGAGUAACACAGUUCAAAUGGCAAAGGCAUACCUGACAAUUAAAAUGCAUAGUUAAAGGCUAAUACUUCCUGAACACAAGAAGACAAGUCUCUACUUGAUACUACUCUCCACAGUUAAAUCAUUGAUACUUUGUGCCAUACAGUGAAAACAGAACCAUCUAGGUGUUCACGGAUUGUAUUUUUCCUUAUGAAAGGUAGAAGGUUAGAGAAAAUUAUUCCCAAUACAAUUAAUACAAAUAAAAUUGGUUAUUAGGUGCCUUUUAAUUAGGCAGUAAGGGCAUAUGAAGCUUCAUUACCUAUGAGAAUUUUGUCAAAAUUAUUUCCCAGUUACCAUGUUUUAAAACAGCCUCUCAGAAUUCCCCACUUCUAAUUUCUCCUUUCUAUUCUACCAAUUUUACUCCAUACCUUUUUGCUAAAUAAACAUUUUCUUCCAACUCUGA
rnacentral:lncRNA from 1 species